rnacentral:rRNA from 1 species
CAAAGGUGAGCCAGUACAGGAUGGACCCGCGUCUGAUUAGCUAGUUGGUAAGGUAACGGCUUACCAAGGCGACGAUCAGUAGCCGACCUGAGAGGGUGAUCGGCCACAUUGGAACUGAGACACGGUCCAAACUCCUACGGGAGGCAGCAGUGGGGAAUAUUGCACAAUGGGCGAAAGCCUGAUGCAGCAACGCCGCGUGAGUGAUGAAGGCCUUCGGGUCGUAAAACUCUGUCCUCAAGGAAGAUAAUGACGGUACUUGAGGAGGAAGCCCCGGCUAACUACGUGCCAGCAGCCGCGGUAAUACGUAGGGGGCUAGCGUUAUCCGGAUUUACUGGGCGUAAAGGGUGCGUAGGCGGUCUUUCAAGUCAGGAGUGAAAGGCCACGGCUCAACCGUAGUAAGCUCUUGAAACUGGGAGACUUGAGUGCAGGAGAGGAGAGUGGAAUUCCUAGUGUAGCGGUGAAAUGCGUAGAUAUUAGGAGGAACACCAGUUGCGAAGGCGGCUCUCUGGACUGUAACUGACGCUGAGGCACGAAAGCGUGGGGAGCAAACAGGAUUAGAUACCCUGGUAGUCCACGCUGUAAACGAUGAGUACUAGGUGUCGGGGGUUACCCCCUUCG